rnacentral:lncRNA from 1 species
ACUCAUAACAGCUCAGUAAGGUAGUUACCCCAAUUAGCCCCAUGACAUCUUCCUGGACCUGCAGAUGGGCAAGGACCAGACUCUAGCCUGAACAGUGAGAUGCAGCCCAGAGAAGUGGGAAUCCACAGACAGAGCCUGGCCUGAGACUCCUACUGACUCCAAAGUCCCUGGAGCUGAAGCCAAGCGGGCCUCAUUAGGUCCACUUUACAGAAAAGCAAACUGAGUCUCAAAGAGGGGAAGUCACUGAGCCGGGUACAAUCCAGCCAGUCUUUUGAGUUGGGGCUUUCCACCUGUCUUGGCUGUUUAAGGAGUGCUGGGCGGGGUCUCACACAGCCUGGGACCCUUUGCUGGGGGUUCCAGCCCACCUUGCCCCAUCUAAAGGAGGAGUGGGGCCACAUUGUGAGGGUCUCCAGGACUGCCCCAAAGACUUCCCCAUGAAAGUCCUCCCAUGCCUGAAGCUGCUCCCUUAGCCAUCCUCCUGUCUAACGCUCUGCCCUGAACAGGUUUUUAAGUGGCAUCACUGACCUCCAAAACUUAGGUGCUUGAGGCUGCGCAGGGGUCAUGAGCUGAAUCGCAUCAAAGCCAGGCCUCAAAAUCAGGCUGAGAGGGGCUCCGGGCGCAGGAAAAAAGGCAUGUGCACCAUUGGAAGAGGCGGGCGGAUUGCAGCCAUGUGGGAACAGGAGCCUGGGGUAAACCCACUUUCUGAUUUUUAUGAGAAAAGCCAAACAUCCAGGUUUUUAGGUGAAACCCUCAGAUUUUGGAAAUUAAUUAAAAAUUUUUGAAACCCUUGAUGGGUCAAACAUGACACAUCGAUGGGCCAGGCUAGGUACGGUCCCGGUGAGCAGAGGAUUGACUUCUGGAGGCUUAGAGUGGGCAGGGGACAGGAAGGCAGGGCAGAGUUCCAGACUCCACAGCUUCCUGGGGAGUGUGGCUCUGAGCAAGUUGGCCUCAGGCCCACUCCAACCCCUCUACCAGGCACCAAGAGACAUAGUUCAGCCCCGACCAUUGAACUGGCCAUGACAGGCCUGCUGAUACAAGCAGACCACCCCCGCCAAUGGCCUCUGUGGAGUUACUGACCAGUGUUGGAGGUUGCAGAAGCCCCCUCUCCAGACAUCAGAGCUGUCAGCCUCCCCCAAGUCCUUUGCAGACAGCUGAGGCCAUGACUGGAAAAAGGACCUGCAAGCCGGUCUGCGCUCAGCUUUGGGAAGAACUGUCCAUUUGGACUCCACACCCCCACCUGGAGUCUCAGGUCUCCCGUCUCUAAAAUGGGAAGAAAAAUUCUAGCCCUACUACAAUGUGUGGCUGACCAAACUUUCACUGAUUUCCAAGGAAAGAAAACAAAACAAAAACAAAGACAACAUAAUGAGGUUGUUUUUUUUUUCUUUUUAACUUCUUUUGGUUUUUCUUUAAACAGUAAGGGACUGCAAUUUUCUAUUCUUUUUCUAAUAUCCUUAUUUAGCAAAAUUAAAAGUUGGCGAUGAUGUGUUGCUUUCCCAGACUUUUAUUUGAAAUGUGACUGCUUUGUAAAACUCCAGAGUCAAGGACUCAUAGGCAGGAGGAUGUCAUAAAUUAACAGGAAAGGAUGAGAAAUCUCCACUCCACUCCCUCCUCCCUCCCUUGAUCACUCAUUCCCUCUCUUCCAUUCAUUAACCACCCAC